AGGGAUAUCCAUAGAAGAUUUGUAUUUUGAAUUGUGUCUCCUUUAUGCUAGUUAUUUAUGGUAGUUACUGUAUGAUAUUAUUGCAUGCUAUUUUAUUUAUGGUUACUAUGUUUGGAUAAUUACUUACGCAAUUUUUGCUGGAGUUACUAAUGCUCUUCUGUUUUUGUUAUUGUUUUUCUUUUCCUCCACUGAGCCGAGGGUCGAUUGGAAACAGCCUCUCUGCCCUUUCGGGUAGGGGUAAGGUGCCUCUGUUGUGGGGGAUCUACUAAUGAGCCGAGGGUCGAUUGGGAACAACUUCUCUGCCCUUUCGGGUAGGGGUAAGGCUCAUCUACAUAUUACCCUCCUCAGACCCCACUUUGUGGGACUAUACUGGGUAGUUGUUGUUGUUGUUGUUGUUAGCACAAAUGUAAUGCUUAGCUCAGUGACAUCUAAUAAUUAGUAUUAAAAUGAGACCAUGAGCUCUCAAUUCUAUUUAUAAGAUGCUCAAAAAAUGAAUUAUGCAGAAAUGCGUAAACCGUGCUCCAAGAUGCAAUUUUCAAUCAAACAGUAUACAACGAAAACCAAAAAAACACAAAUCC
rnacentral:lncRNA from 1 species